rnacentral:lncRNA from 1 species
GGCCAGGUCAGGUCAAGUAAGUGUAAAGUACUUGGCAAAAUGCCAGACAAAUAGUAAACAUUAUGUAAGUUUUUAUACUCUUUACAGUUGUUACUAUCAGCUGAGUCAGCCCUGGUGAGCAAGGACUUGGAAAUUUCCCAGUCUGUCCACCCACCCAGCCUAGCAUGGGCACAGAUGAAGGGAGGAGCUGUGAGGUCCUCAAGGACGAGGAAGGAGCCCUGAGAAGGAGUCAGAUGCAGCAACAAAGUCCAAGCCUGCUAUGGUGAAGAAAUGAGAGGUGCAAGUAAACUGGAAAGGAAGCUGAGGAAAACCCAAGCAAAAGGGCACUGCAUUUGAAGUCAGAAGACUGAGGCCACAGUCUCUGACCAUAACCCAGCUCUGUCACUAAUCAGUCACCCGGCCUUGGAUGUCAAUUCCCCCAGCCUUGCCUAUAAAGUGGAUGUUAAUCUACCCCAUCUAGCCUUUGAAAAAGAAUUAAAUGAUUC